rnacentral:sRNA from 1 species
GGAACUCGCCUUUCAGGCAUCCUCUCCUAAAACUUCACGGCCGUCCUUCUGGGCGGCUUUUUUUUUGCUUUUU